GUCAGGAUGGCCGAGCGGUCUAAGGCGCUGCGUUCAGGUCGCAGUCCACUUCUGUGGGCGUGGGUUCGAAUCCCACUUCCCACUUCUGACA